rnacentral:rRNA from 1 species
CGGACGGGUGAGUAAUGUCUGGGAAACUGCCUGAUGGAGGGGGAUAACUACUGGAAACGGUAGCUAAUACCGCAUAACGUCGCAAGACCAAAGAGGGGGACCUUAGGGCCUCUUGCCAUCGGAUGUGCCCAGAUGGGAUUAGCUAGUAGGUGGGGUAAGGGCUCACCUAGGCGACGAUCCCUAGCUGGUCUGAGAGGAUGACCAGCCACACUGGAACUGAGACACGGUCCAG